rnacentral:misc_RNA from 1 species
GCGAGUUGUAAAACUCCCCUUAAACCAUCGCGAACGCUACCACAUAUUGUUGCUUCGGCGGGUCGGCCUCCCCUAGGGGCCAGGAUGGGCCGCCCGCCGGAGGAGCACAAACCAAACCAUGUUAGUUACUGGCCUCUCUGAGUAUGAAUCUUAAAACAAGUCA